GCUUGCUCCUCUGCCGUCAGCGGCGGACGGGUGAGUUACAUGUGGAUAACCUACCUAUAAGACUGGGAUAACUUCGGGAAACCGGAGCUAAUACCGGAUAAUAUAUUGAACCGCAUGGUUCAAUAUUGAAAGACGGUUUUGCUGUCACUUAUAGAUGGAUCCGCGCCGCAUUAGCUAGUUGGUAAGGUAACGGCUUACCAAGGCAACGAUGCGUAGCCGACCUGAGAGGGUGAUCGGCCACACUGGAACUGAGACACGUCCAGACCCCUACGGGAGGCAGCAGUAGGGAAUCUUCCGCAAUGGGCGAAAGCCUGACGGAGCAACGCCGCGUGAGUGAUGAAGGUCUUCGGAUCGUAAAACUCUGUUAUUAGGGAAGAACAAAUGUGUAAGUAACUAUGCACGUCUUGACGGUACCUAAUCAGAAAGCCACGGCUAACUACGUGCCAGCAGCCGCGGUAAUACGUAGGUGGCAAGCGUUAUCCGGAAUUAUUGGGCGUAAAGCGCGCGUAGGCGGUUUUUUAAGUCUGAUGUGAAAGCCCACGGCUCAACCGUGGAGGGUCAUUGGAAACUGGAAAACUUGAGUGCAGAAGAGGAAAGUGGAAUUCCAUGUGUAGCGGUGAAAUGCGCAGAGAUAUGGAGGAACACCAGUGGCGAAGGCGACUUUCUGGUCUGUAACUGACGCUGAUGUGCGAAAGCGUGGGGAUCAAACAGGAUUAGAUACCCUGGUAGUCCACGCCGUAAACGAUGAGUGCUAAGUGUUAGGGGGUUUCCGCCCCUUAGUGCUGCAGCUAACGCAUUAAGCACUCCGCCUGGGGAGUACGACCGCAAGGUUGAAACUCAAAGGAAUUGACGGGACCCGCACAAGCGGUGGAGCAUGUGGUUUAAUUCGAAGCAACGCGAGAACCUUACCAAAUCUUGACAUCCUCUGACCCUCUAGAGAUAGAGUUUU
rnacentral:rRNA from 1 species